CAUACGUAUAUAUAUGCAAAUGUUGUUAUCGUUAUCGUUAUGGUGUGUUGUUGUUGGGUGUCGUGGUACGGUUGUGAUGAUGCGUCUUUCUAAAUGUAUAGUAUGUGCUUAUAUUUAUAUCAUACAUUAUAAAGGAGAUUUAGAGAUUUUGCAUGAGAAAGUUGAUGUCCCACAUUGACUUGUUACUGUAUCCAGUCGUCAUUUACGAUAAAAGUAACAUUAUGCUCCUUUGCUGGAUACUAGUUCGAAGGAUUGAGUGUGAUGUCAUUUUUACAAUCAAAAGGAUGUAUCUAUCCAAUAAGCAUUCCGACGGGAGAUCGGUGGCAAUAUGAAAGUUAAAGCAAUUUACUAGUCACGUCAGACGUCGACCAUGGGGGGACUUUGAAGCAACGGAAGAACCUUCCAUGUCAAUACAUCAUUGUCAACCUAGAGAUAGGGCUUUCCCUUCGGGGACAGAGUGACAGGUGGUGCAUGGUUGUCGUCAGCUCGUGUCGUGAGAUGUUGGGUUAAGUCCCGCAACGAGCGCAACCCUUGAUCUUAGUUGCCAGCAUUCAGUUGGGCAUUAAGGUGACUGCCGGUGACAAACCGGAGGAAGGGGGGAUGACGUCAAAUCAUCAUCCCCUUAUGACCUGGGCUACACACGUGCUACAAUGGACAGAACAAAGGGCUGCAAGACCGCAAGGUUUAGCCAAUCCCAUAAAUCUGUUCUCAGUUCGGAUGCAGUCUGCAACUCGCUGCGUGAAGCUGGAAUCGCUAGUAAUCGCGGAUCAGCAUGCCGCGGUGAAUACGUUCCCGGGCCUUGUACACACCGCCCGUCACACCACGAGAGUUUGCAACACCCGAAGUCGGUGGGUAACCUUUAUGGAGCCAGCCGCCAAGUGACAGAG
rnacentral:rRNA from 1 species